rnacentral:rRNA from 1 species
CAGUAGCCGCGGGAAUACGUAGGGUGCAAGCGUUGUCCGGAAUUAUUGGGCGUAAAGAGCUCGUAGGCGGCCUGUCGCGUCGGCUGUGAAAACUCAGGGCUCAACCCUGAGCCUGCAGUCGAUACGGGCAGGCUAGAGUCCGGCAGGGGAGACUGGAAUUCCUGGUGUAGCGGUGAAAUGCGCAGAUAUCAGGAGGAACACCGGUGGCGAAGGCGGGUCUCUGGGCCGGAACUGACGCUGAGGAGCGAAAGCGUGGGGAGCGAACAGGAUUAGAUACCCGUGUAGUCCCUGUCUCUUAUAC